rnacentral:misc_RNA from 2 species
AGCAGCCGCGGUAAUUCCAGCUCCAAUAGCGUAUAUUAAAGUUGUUGCAGUUAAAAAGCUCGUAGUUGAAUUUCGGGAUCAAAUUGUUGGUCGUGCCUCGGUACGCACUGGUAUUAUUGGUUCCUACCUUCUGAAGAACCGCGAUGUCAUUAAUUUGGUGUCGUGGGGAAUCAGGACUGUUACUUUGAAAAAAAUUAGAGUGUUUAAAGCAGGCUUACGCUUGAAUACAUUAGCAUGGAAUAAUGAAAUAGGACGUUUGAUUCUAUUUUGUUGGUUUCUAGGAUUGACGUAAUGAUUAAUAGGGAUAGUUGGGGGCAUUAGUAUUCAAUUGUCAGAGGUGAAAUUCUUGGAUUUAUUGAAGACUAACUACUGCGAAAGCAUUUGCCAAGGAUGUUUUCAUUAAUCAAGAACGAAAGUUGAGGGGAUCGAAGACGAUCAGAUACCGUCGUAGUCUUAACCAUAAACUAUGCCGACUAGGGAUCGGAUGAUGUUAAUCUUUUAAUGACUCAUUCGGCGCCUU